UUUAGAGAUCACGUCUGCAUUUUUCAUCUUUUUGGACCACUGCCAUCAAGAGCAGCAAAGUCUAGGGACCCAAGGAAAAGUGUUAAACACGGUAAAAAUUUUUUAAAAAGAUAAAGUGUGCCAAAUAAAUAAAAGACAGGAAGAUCACAGAAAAAACGUUUAAAGAAAGCCACUUAUUUUGCUUUCAGACCACUCAGCACCAUUUGUCAUAAUAAUUGCAAACCAAAUCUGACCACCCUGGGAGAUGAGCUUUGCUAAACUGACAACAAAGUCUUUAAAAAUUAGAUACUUGACUUCCAUGUUUCAAUAUUUUUAAACUAAAACACAUGGUCUCUUGCAGCCAGCCCCGUGGCAUACUGGUUAAGUGUGCAUGCUCCACUUCAACGGCCCGGGGUUAGCAGGCUCAGAUCUCGGGCACAGACCUAGAACUGCUCAUCAAGCCACGACUGUGACGGCAUCUCACAUUAAAUAGAGGAAGAUUGGCACAGAUGUUAGCUCAGGGCCAAUCUUCCUCAAGCAUAAAGAGGAAGAUUGGCAACGAGUGUUAGCUCAGGGCCAAGCUUCUUCACCAAAAAACAAUAACAAAAAACAAAGAAAACACAUGGUGUCUUGAUUGAUCAUGAACGUGGUUUUGAUGUAAACAACCAUAUUGAGUCAGUAGAUUCGUAACUGCUUUAUCACUCAAUGAUAGGGAAGUUUACAACCAGGUGAAUAAACCACAGUAUUUAACAUUUAUUCAUUUUUAUAAUCCUCAGUAUCACUUUAAAACUUACUAAGAAAGGCAUAUACCUUUGGCUUCUGUUGCUGUGCGUAUGAUCAAGGUGUAACAAAAAAAUGCCAAGCGCAGAUUUCAAAGCAAUUGUGUAAGGUUAUACCCUUGGUCUUCAAAGACAGCAAUAGACCUAUAGUGUUAGUCUGUGACAGGUGUUGUUCUAAAUGCUGCAUCUACAUCACUUUAUUGCAUACUCUCAAUGACGUCAUUUUACAGAUGAAGAAACUGCGCCCCAGAAAAACGUAAAAAUCAUAUCCAAGGUCACCAACAUUGUGCAUCUAGUAAAAAUCUACACGGGAUUUGAAUCUAGAAAGUUUGGCUCCAACAUCAGGCCUUUAUGUGCUAUAAUCUACCGCCUCUCUGGCUCUCUCAAAUCUGUACCUUAGGUUUCUACAGCCAAGCUAAAAAGGAGUAAAACACCUAUAAACCAGGGGGCACUCCAGCGCUAUUCAUUUGGCUUAUUGACCACUCAUGAUACGGCCCUGCCGACUGCCCAUUAAAAUGUCUGUGCAGGCACAACAAAGUGUGAAAAUACAAAACAAAAUUUUAAAAAUUAAAUAUAUAGGCCAUUUAUUCCCGUGAUCUGUGAGAAAGUUUAUCAGCUGUAGAAAAUGGAGCUGAACACAUAUGGACUUUGUAUGACAGGACUGGUGUAGUGAAAUGAAGAGGGGGAAACAUAAUAUUCACAUGGAUGACGUGCUGUAGAUUCUUAAAUAUUUAGUCUGGGCUCUUUUUGUCUUUAGACAUUGUUAUCAUAGUGUCUAGUCCUCUCAUAUUUCAAGAGCC
ensembl:lncRNA